CUACGGGUCGCACCAGUGAGGAAUAUUGCACAAUGGGGGGAACCCUGAUGCAGCAACGCCGCGUGGAGGAUGACGCAUUUCGGUGUGUAAACUCCUUUUAUAUGUCAAGAAAAUGACGGUAGCAUAUGAAUAAGCACCGGCUAACUCCGUGCCAGCAGCCGCGGUAAUACGGAGGGUGCAAGCGUUACUCGGAAUCACUGGGCGUAAAGGACGCGUAGGCGGGGUGGGAAAGUCAGGUGUGAAAUCCUACAGCUUAACUGUAGAACUGCACUUGAAACUUCUAAUCUAGAGUAUGGGAGGGGGAGAUGGAAUUAGUGGUGUAGGGGUAAAAUCUGUAGAUAUCACUAGGAAUACCUAAAGCGAAGGCGAUCUCCUGGAACAUUACUGACGCUAAGGCGUGAAAGCGUGGGGAGCAAACAGGAUUAGAUACCCGCGUAGUC
rnacentral:rRNA from 1 species